rnacentral:rRNA from 1 species
GACGAACGCUAGCGGCGUGCCUAAGGUAUGCAAGUCGAACGGGGAAGCAAUUCCUAGUGGCGAACGGUCGAGUAACACGUAGACAACCUGCCUCCCAGCGGGGGAUACCAGCGGGAAACCGCUGCUAAUACCGCAUUCGAUCCGCAGGGAUAGCCCUGUUGGAUGAAAGCCGCUUGCGGCACUGGGAGAUGGGUCUGCGG